rnacentral:rRNA from 1 species
UACAGAGGGGGCGAGCGUUGUCCGGAAUCAUUGGGCGUAAAGCGCGUGUAGGCGGCCCGGUAAGUCCGCUGUGAAAGUCCAGGGCUCAACCCUGGGAUGCCGGUGGAUACUGUCGGGCUCGAGUCCGGAAGAGGCGAGUGGAAUUCCUGGUGUAGCGGUGAAAUGCGUAGAUAUUGGGAGGAACACCAGUGGCGAAGGCGGCUCACUGGACCGGAACUGACGCUGAGGCGCGAAAGCGUGGGGAGCAAACAGG